ensembl:lncRNA
GGUGGAUACAGAGAAAGAGUUUUUUUUUUUUUUAUCUCUCUCCGUCAACAACAACAAAGCAGCUGUUUACACACAGCGGAGCUGCUGAAUGUAACAGGAGGAGACCACUUGAGCAGCUGCCAGGUUCCAGGGUGUGUUGAAGGCAGCGGAGGGGACGAGACAUUGAACGGUGCAUUUUGCCCCGGGAUUUAUUCACAUGUCUUCUUUUGUCACCUGCUUGUUCAAUUGUCUCUGAACAAGGAAAAGCGACACAUAUCUGGGUGAAUCGACAAAGUUACACAAUAAGCCGCCGCAUCCGUGUCGCCGCGGCUGCAGCCACAAGGUGUGUUACCUUGCUCGGGCAGAUUCCAGCCGAGCCUCAGCGAAAGGAAAAAACUAAAUAACACCUCCAAAGCCGCACUCGCAUUGUCAACUCUCCCGUGGUUCAAUGCGAGAGUGAGACUUCAUACCUCCUCACGUUGAUAUUA